ACUAUUUUGGCAGAUUAAGUGUGAUAAAUUUAGAAUUUAUUAAUGUAAUUAUUUUACAGAUAGUA
rnacentral:tRNA from 1 species